UACGUAGGGUGCAAGCGUUAAUCGGAAUUACUGGGCGUAAAGCGUGCGCAGGCGGUUUUGUAAAGUCUGAUGUGAAAGCCCCGGGCUCAACCUGGGAAUGGCAUUGGAAACUGGCUUGCUGGAGUGUGGCAGGAGGGUGGAAUUUCCGGCGUGUAGCAGUGGAAAUGCGUAGAGAUGCGGAGGAACACCGAUGGCGAAGGCAGCCUGGCCAACACUGACGCUCAGGCACGAAGCGUGGAGCAAACAGGAUUUAG
rnacentral:rRNA from 1 species